CGAGACCUCAGGUCAGGCGGGGCUACCCGCUGAGUUUAAGCAUAUCAAUAA
rnacentral:rRNA from 11 species